UAUCUCUGUAGAGUCUGCAUAUCAAUAAGCGGAGGAAAAGAAACUAACAAGGAUUCCCUUAGUAACGGCGAGUGAAGCGGGAAGAGCUCAAAUUUGAAAUCUUCAAGGUUCUACCUUGACGAAUUGUAGUUUAAAGAAGUGUUUUCUGUUAGAUGAGUAGCAAAAGUUCCUUGGAAUGGGACAUCAUAGAGGGUGAGAAUCCCGUAUUUGGUUAUUCAUUCUAGCUUUGUGAUACACUUUCAAAGAGUCGGAUUGUUUGGGAAUGCAGUCCAAAAUGGGUGGUAAAUUUCAUCUAAAGCUAAAUAUUGGCGAGAGACCGAUAGCGAACAAGUACCGUGAGGGAAAGAUGAAAAGAACUUUGAAAAGAGAGUUAAACAGUACGUGAAAUCGUCAAAAGGGAAGCGUUUGACACCAGUGUUGUUUUUCCGAAAAUCAAUUACGAAUGGCUUGAUUCUGUGUUGUAUUGACCUUAUCAGCUUUCUUCACUUUUUUCGAGUCUUUCUUAAUGCACUUUUCGGUUAACAAGUCAACAUCAAUUUCUUUUGUUGUAAAAGAGUAUUCGGAAGGUGGCUUUCUUUUCGGAGAAAGUGUUUAUAGCCCUAUACUUCUACAAUCGGAGAGAUUGAGGUCUGCAGCGUAGAUCCUUCGGGGUUAGAUACACUUGUGCUAAGUUGUAGCUUUUCAUAGACAACUUGUUGACUAUGUUUAGUCAUGCGGCUUACUCGCUUAUGCUAUUUUACCUACGCUUAGGAUGUUGAAGAUGUAGCACAUCAU
rnacentral:rRNA from 1 species